rnacentral:rRNA from 1 species
CGGCCUUAGUGGCGCACGGGUGCGUAACGCGUGGGAAUCUGCCCUCGGUUCGGAAUAACAGUUGGAAACGACUGCUAAUACCGGAUGAUGACGUAAGUCCAAAGAUUUAUCGCCGAGGGAUGAGCCCGCGUAGGAUUAGCUAGUUGGUGUGGUAAAGGCGCACCAAGGCGACGAUCCUUAGCUGGUCUGAGAGGAUGAUCAGCCACACUGGGACUGAGACACGGCCCAG